AUUGAACGCUGGCGGCAUGCCUAACACAUGCAAGUCGAACGGCAGCAUGAUAGGAGCUUGCUCUUAUUGAUGGCGAGUGGCGGACGGGUGAGUAAUAUGUAGGAAUCUACCUAGAGGUGCGGGAUAACUUAGGGAAACUUAAGCUAAUACCACAUAAGCCCCAAGGGGGAAAGCAGGGGAUCUUCGGACCUUGCGCCUUAUGAAGAGCCUACAUCGGAUUAGCUUGUUGGUGGGGUAAAGGCCUACCAAGGCGACGAUCCGUAGCUGGUCUGAGGGGAUGAUCAGCCACACUGGGACUGAGACACGGCCCAGACUCCUACGGGAGGCAGCAGUGGGGAAUAUUGGACAAUGAGCGCAAGCCUGAUCCAGCAUGCCGCGUGUGUGAAGAAGGCCUUAGGGUUGUAAAGCACUUUCAGUGGGGAGGAAGUUGUGUGUGUUAAUACCAUAUGCAAUUGACGUUACCCACAGAAGAAGCACCGGCUAACUCUGUGCCAGCAGCCGCGGUAA
rnacentral:rRNA from 1 species